rnacentral:lncRNA from 1 species
GAAGGUUGUGAAUAUACAAUAUUUCUGAUUGGUUUUUUUUUGUAUGUUGGAGGCAUGUAUGAAUACUGCAAUUAGGAAAACUGAUAAGGAUGUAAUGGCCUUGCAGAUUUAAAGCCUGGCUGUUUCCUCCCUGAGUGAAUUUUUUGUUGGGAGGUGUUAGCUGGCCCUGAUUGUUUCCUGUCUGGAAUUACCUUGUUUUCAGAGUGGUGUUGUUUAUGAUAUUUUAUGUGCUUCUACUGUCUGUGGCCCUGAGAAAACAGAGGAUUUGCCCGACUUUGAUGAUGGGAAUACUUUGUUGGGAGGUGUUAGCUGGCCCUGAUUGUUUCCUGUGUGGAAUUCCCCUGUUUUCAGAGUGUUGUUCUUUAUUUAGUGUUCUGAUUUUAGAGAUUGUAUUGUUCUGUUUUAUUAUACCACUAUUAUUAUUAUUAUUAUUAUUAUUGUGUUGCAGUCAACCAUGAAAAUGAAUACAAAAAAUUAAUGUGGUAUAAUAAAACAGAACAAUACAAUCUCUAAAAUCAGAACACUAAAUAAAGAACAACACUCUGAAAACAGGGGAAUUCCACACAGGAAACAAUCAGGGCCAGCUAACAUCUCCCAACAAAGUAUUCUCAUCAUCAAAGUUGGGCAAAUCCUCUGUUUUCUCAGGGCCACAGACAGUAGAAGCACAUAAAAUAUCACAAACACCACCACUCUGAAAACAAGGGAAUUCCAGACAGGAAACAAUCAGGGCCAGCUAACACCUCCCAACAAAAAAUUCACUCAGGGAGGAAACAACCAGGCUUUAAAGCUGCAAGGCCAUUACAUCCUUAUCAGUUUUCCUAAUUGCAGCAUUCAUACUUGCCUCCAACAGACAAAAAACCAAUCAGAAAUAUUGUAUAUUCACAACCUUCAGGAAAUAAUAUCCCCUGAUGGCGCAGCGUGUUAAAACGCUGAGCUGCUGAACUUCUGGACCGAAAGGCCACAGGUUUGAAUUGGGGGAGCGGAGAGAGCCCCCACUGUUAGCCCCAGCUUCUGCCAACCCAGAAGUUCGAAAACAUGCAAAUGUGAGUGCAUCAAUAGGUACUGCUCCGGUGGGAAGGUAACGCCGCUCCAUGCAGUCAUCCCACAUGACCUUGGAGGAGUCUACGGACAGUGGAGAUGAGCACCAACCCCCAGAGUCAGACAUGACUGGACUGAAUGUCAGGGGAAAACGUUUACCCUUUACCUUAACUACCACCAAUUCCUCAAUACUUUAUUUCCCAUACCACCAUACUUCGCCACAGCAAUGCGUGGCCGGGCACAGCUAGUAUCUCUAUAU